UAGUAGUUGGCUGAUAUAUCAGUAGUAAUAAUGUUCUUUUGGCUGAUAUAUUGGUUGUACCAGUAGUUAAAGCCAUGGUUUAAGGUGUCUUCUGAACACGGCCUGGCUUUCUGGUUAAAACCAUGGCUUAAGGUGACUUCUGAAUGGGGUCAUACUAUGCAGGGAUGUAAAAAGCAUUGCUUAUUAUCAUCACCAUCAUUAUCGUCUCAAGCCACAAGCUCCUUAGUUAAUUUUUCUAUCAGCUUUUAUCUUGUCCUUCCUUCAAGGAACUCAGAGUGACAUAUAGUGAAGGUGCCAGGCGAACCUCUUUAGGGAGCUCAUUCCACAGUCGGGGUGCCACAGCAAAGAAGGCCCUCCUCCUGGUAGCCACCUGCCUCACUUCCUUUGUGAGCCCACUGCUCUUACCCUCUCAACAGUCCUGUGAGGAGGAGUUUCAUCUGAAUUAUAACAGCAGCAUCCCCUCUAGCCCCCAUAGCGCAAGCCCAAGACGCUCCAAAUUCUACAAAAUAAUCAGCAUGUGCAAGAAACAGGUUCCUCUUUGUCCCUUUAUAAAAGGAAUAUAAGAAGAGCCCUGAAGCUGAAUCCGAUCAAGGUGGGCCUUGAUCAGAUCAAGUAUUCUGCUUUCCGGAGUAGUCAGACAGAUGCCUCCAGGACCCGUUGGACGAAUAAAUGCAUUCCCCUUUAAGGUGCCACAAGAUUCUUCAUCCCAUCCCCGACGUUGCUAUUGCUGCUGACUGACAAAAGAAAUAGUACUUUUGGGUUGCUUGUUUUAUUUUGGGCGUUGUUUUUGUUUGAUGCUGCUAUACAGUGCUUUGUAUAUUUUGGAGAGGGAAGCGUUUUAUAAAUAAAUGUUAAUAAGAAAUCUACACGUGUAUAAAAACC